CCUAUCGUCCAGGUGGUUCCAUUCAAUUACAGUUUUCACAAAAAAUGAAUUUUUCAAUUGCUCAGAUUUACAAUGCUUAACACUAAAACCUCUGGUAUUGUUUAUUACUUGGUUUUCAACAAUGUUUGACACAUGGAAGUCACUAUAUGAUUUUGCUCUGAUUUGUCUUUUACGAGUUACAGUUUGUAGGUAAUCCGAUGAGUGUAUAGCUGGCACCAGACCCCCGGCCACUUUGUAGAGAAAUACAAGUCGACUGGUUCUUCUACGAUCCUGGAGUGGAGUUAGUUUGAGAGAUUCCAACAUGUUUGUGACCGAUCCUUUUUCUCUAGACCUGUAGUCGCCGGUAAUAAAUCUCGCUGCCUGACGCUGGAUAGUUCUAACUUAUUAAUAUCGCCUUCUAAGUAAGGGUCCCAAACAAUAGCACUAUAUUCGAGAGUUGAUCGUAUUAAAGCUAAGUAGGCACUUUUUCUGCAUUCUGAUGGACAGUGACGAAUGUUUCUACGGAGUAGAGCCAAGGUUGAAUUUGCCUUUUUUGUAAUUUUGUUAAUGUGCUUAGUCCAUGUAAGGUCUUCAGAUAGUGUUAGACCCAGAUAUGGGUUCUCAGUUACUUGCUUAAGUAUAUGACCACACAAAGAAUAGAAGUGAGGAUUUUUGCAAUUUACACUUAUGACAUAACAUUUUUUUGCAUUAAGCUUCAUGCCCCACUUAUCCGCCCAGAGUUCAAGGUUUUUUAAGUCACUUUGAAGUAAGUCGUAAUCUUUUUGGUUUUUAUGGAUUUUAUCAGGGAAGCAUGUGAAGUUUACUUUUGUUUAACUACCUUUUGUUCAACGAUGAAGGGAUCUGAGACUUGUAAUACUGUUUACUGAUUUGAUAAUAUUCCUUGUUCCUUUGAUGGUUCAUUCCACUAUACAGCUGGUUCAUAUACCCUACAACAGCCAGGAAAUUGGUCUGUUUACUUUAAGAUCCCAAGAAAAUGUAACAUAUUUUGGAUGUGCUUUGAGGAAUCAGGAAGGCAAGUGUUUCCUCUUGUUUAUGAAGCAACUGAGUUGGUUAAGGGGCAGACAACUUGUGAGCAUGGUACAUCACUACCUGUAUUGGUAUUCCAUUUUGACAAUGCUGCUAGCUAGAAUAGAAAUAACAUCUUGCUGUGGUACGGUCUGUGGAGACUUUUACUAGGUAACAACCAUUUUUG